rnacentral:rRNA from 1 species
GUGUGAUUCAUGACUGGGGUGAAGUCGUAACAAGGUAGCCGUAGGGGAACCUGCGGCUGGAUCACCUCCUUA